UAUGUUUUAGUAUAAUUGUACUUAAGUUUUUGAUGCUUAAAGUGUUAGGUAAAUCUAAUAAAUAUAA
rnacentral:tRNA from 2 species